rnacentral:rRNA from 1 species
GAUGAACGCUGGCGGCGUGCCUAAUACAUGCAAGUCGAGCGAACAGACGAGGAGCUUGCUCCUCUGACGUUAGCGGCGGACGGGUGAGUAACACGUGGAUAACCUACCUAUAAGACUGGGAUAACUUCGGGAAACCGGAGCUAAUACCGGAUAAUAUAUUGAACCGCAUGGUUCAAUAGUGAAAGACGGUUUUGCUGUCACUUAUAGAUUGAUCCGCGCCGCAUUAGCUAGUUGGUAAGGUAACGGCUUACCAAGGCGACGAUGCGUAGCCGACCUGAGAGGGAGAUCGGCCACACUGGAACUGAGACACGGUCCAGACUCCUACGGGAGGCAGCAGUAGGGAAUCUUCCGCAAUGGGCGAAUGCCUGACGGAGCAACGCCGCGUGAGUGAUGAAGGUCUUCGGAUCGUAAAACUCUGUUAUUAGGGAAGAACAAAUGUGUAAGUAACUAUGAACGUCUUGACGGUACCUAAUGAGAAAGCCACGGCUAACUACGUG